AAGCGGCAACAGCUCAAAUUUGAAAUCUGGCGCAAGCCCGAGUUGUAAUUUGUAGAGGAUGCUUCUGGCCAGCGGCCGUUCUAAGUUCCUUGGAACAGGACGUCAUAGAGGGUGAGAAUCCCGUAUGUGACCGGCGCGCAGCCUUUACGUAGCUCCUUCGACGAGUCGAGUUGUUUGGGAAUGCAGCUCUAAAUGGGAGGUAAAUUUCUCUAAAGCUAAAUACCGGCCAGAGACCGAUAGCGCACAAGUAGAGUGAUCGAAAGAUGAAAAGCACUUUGGAAAGAGAGUUAAAAAGCACGUGAAAUUGUUGAAAGGGAAGCGCUUGCAACCAGACUUCGUAGCGAUGUUCCGCUGGUCUUUUGACCGGUCUACUCAUCGUCGCGAGGCCAACAUCGUCUGGGCCCGCUGGAUAAGACCUAAGGAAUGUAGCUUCCCUCGGGAAGUGUUAUAGCCUGUGGUGAUGCAGCGCGGCUCGGGCGAGGUCCG
rnacentral:rRNA from 1 species